UACGUAGGGUGCAAGCGUUAAUCGGAAUUACUGGGCGUAAAGCGUGCGCAGGCGGCUUUGCAAGACAGAUGUGAAAUCCCCGGGCUUAACCUGGGAACUGCAUUUGUGACUGCAUGGCUGGAGUGCGGCAGAGGGGGAUGGAAUUCCGCGUGUAGCAGUGAAAUGCGUAGAUAUGCGGAGGAACACCGAUGACGAAGGCAGUCCCCUGGGCCUGCACUGACGCUCAUGCACGAAAGCGUGGGGAGCAAACAGG
rnacentral:rRNA from 1 species